rnacentral:rRNA from 1 species
CGAUCAGUAGCCGACCUGAGAGGGUGAUCGGCCACAUUGGAACUGAGACACGGUCCAAACUCCUACGGGAGGCAGCCGUGGGGAAUAUUGCACAAUGGGCGAAAGCCUGAUGCAGCAACGCCGCGUGCGUGAUGAAGGCCUUCGGGUCGUAAAACUCUGUCCUCAAGGAAGAUAAUGACGGUACUUGAGGAGGAAGCCCCGGCU